rnacentral:SRP_RNA from 1 species
GAGCUCUUGGAAUAGUACUGCUUGAACCAGGUCAGGACCGGAAGGUAGCAGCCUUUAGAGCAUUAAGGCUGUGCCAGGAGU